rnacentral:rRNA from 1 species
CAGCAGCCGCGGUAAUACGUAGGGUGCAAGCGUUAAUCGGAAUUACUGGGCGUAAAGCGUGCGCAGGCGGUUUGUUAAGACAGAUGUGAAAUCCCCGGGCUCAACCUGGGAACCGCAUUUGUGACUGGCAAGCUAGAGUGUGGCAGAGGGGGGCGGAAUUCCGCGUGUAGCAGUGAAAUGCGUAGAUAUGCGGAGGAACACCGAUGGCGAAGGCAGCCCCCUGGGAUAACACUGACGCUCAUGCACGAAAGCGUGGGGAGCAAACAGGAUUAGAUACCCGCGUAGUCCCUGUCUCUUAUAU